AUGGAGGCACAGACCCGGGUCUUCAUAUUCCUGCUCCUCUGGAUGUCUGGUGCUGAAGGGGACAUUGUGAUGACCCAGUCUCCUGAAAUCAUGUCCACAUCUGUUGGAGACAGGAUCAGUUUAAGCUGCAAGUCCAGUCAGAGUGUGGGUAGCUAUGUAGCUUGGUACCAGCAAAAACCAGGGCAAUCCCUUAAGCGGCUGAAUUACUAUGCAUCCAGUCGGGACACUGGGGUCCCUGAUCGCUUCACAGGCAGUGCAUCUGGGACAGAUUUCACGCUCAGCAUCAGCAGUGUGCAGGAUGAAGACCUGGCAGUUUAUUACUGUCAGCAGGGUUACAAAAGUCCCUGUUCCUAUUACAAUGGAACCCACUUGGAU